UACGUAGGGAGCAAGCGUUGUCCGGAAUCAUUGGGCGUAAAGCGCGCGUAGGCGGCCCGGUAAGUCCGUUGUGAAAGUCAAAGGCUCAACCUUUGAAUGCCGAUGGAUACUGCCGGGCUCGAGUCCGGAAGAGGCGAGUGGAAUUCCUGGUGUAGCGGUGGAAUGCGCAGAUAUCAGGAGGAACACCAAUAGCGAAGGCAGCUCGCUGGGACGGUACUGACGCUAAGGCGCGAAAGCGUGGGGAGCGAGCAGG
rnacentral:rRNA from 1 species